rnacentral:rRNA from 1 species
GCACAAGCGGAGGAACAUGUGGUUUAAUUCGAUGAUACGCGAGGAACCUUACCUGGGCUUAAAUGGGGAGUGACAGCUGUCGAAAGAUGGUUUUCUUCGGACACUCUUCAAGGUGCUGCAUGGUUGUCGUCAGCUCGUGCCGUGAGGUGUCGGGUUAAGUCCCAUAACGAGCGCAACCCUUACCGUUAGUUACCAUCAGGUUAAGCUGGGGACUCUAGCGGGACUGCCACCGUAAGGUGAGAGGAAAGGUGGGGAUGACGUCAAAUCAGCACGGCCCUUAUGUCCAGGGCUACACACGUGUUACAAUGGCCGGUACAAAGGGCAGCUACUUCGCGAGAAGAUGCUAAUCUCGAAAGCCGGUCUCAGUUCGGAUCGAAGUCUGCAACCCGACUUCGUGAAGUUGGAAUCGCUAGUAAUCGCGGAUCAGCAUGCCGCGGUGAAUACGUUCCCGGGCCUU